UGUGGCCAGCACUUGUAGCUCUGAUUCGACCCCUAGCCUGGCAACUUCCAUAUGCCUCAGGUACGACCCUGAAAAAGCCAAAAAAAAAAAAAAAGUUAACAUGGAAUUUGAGUCAAUUUCAGCUCCAAUCUAUAUGAGGUGUAGGCAUAAGAAAAUGGGCCAGAAAGCAGAUUUAGAAGUGGAGCUAGUUCUGGGUUUGCCCAUUUUAUUUUUUUAACAUUAAAAAAAAAUUUUUUUAAGGUCCUUUCAUCUGGGACUAGGCAGCGGAUCUCCCUGAAUAUGUAUCAGUGGCAGACGGAGGUUGGUACAGUCAACCAGGACACCGGGACGAAAGAUCCAGAAGACUAGGAGAAAAACCAUGACCAGGAGAAGAAAGCCCUGCAAGACACCUUUACGCUUGGCUUAAAAGAAGGAAGAUCAAUUGCGUGCACAGGUAGAAAGAAGAAAACCGAGACACACCUCGCCUGUUGCCAGAGCGAUAAAAUUUUCCACUGUCUUGGGCACAACUUUUCCAAAGAGGCCGAUCACAAUUCUGCCAACAUCUUUAUCUCCAAUCCUCACGUCGAAGAAGACCUGCGUGUGGAUGAAAGGCCAAGCAGAAGGUUAUAAGGAGGACGAGCCAUGAUGCAAGUGCCUGACCCUGCACAGAAUCCAUGCGGCAUCUGCUGGAAAAUGCCACCAAUACCAAUUGAGUGGAUUUUGAGACCAGUGAGCUGAAGCCCUGACCUGAGGCUCCAUGGCUGGGCAGGAGGCUGAGAUGGUAGCUGACAGCAGGAUUCAUGGACAAGGUGGGUGCCAUGAAGGGGCCUUGGGUGGAGGCAGCACUUUACACCUCUCAUGUUUACAGAUGCCCAUUUUUUUCCCAUUUCUGAAAUCAGGAAAUCAGAGGAAAAGGUAAAGACUUCUGGGGAAAAUAAUACACUAGAUUGAUGGCCAACUGAUCUACUUUUCCAUGGUCGGAAAUCACGCAACACAGGAUCCAAGCUGUGUCUGCGACCUACACCACAGCUCACAGCAACACUGGAUCCCUGACCCACUAAGCGAGGCCAGGGAUUGAACCCUGGUCCUCAUGGAUACUAAUCAGAUUCAUUUCCGCUGCGCCACAAUGGGAACUCCCAGCUUCCCCACUUCUUCUAAAGGCUCUCAACAGGGGCUGCACACCCUCCCAGAGAUGGUAUUUAGCAAUGACUUACUCUGGGGUGGGUCUCUGCUCUGGCAGGUCUAAGAGCCUCCCAGGUGAAGUUUGUUUGCAAAUAUUAUAGGUGAUGUUCUGACAUUAGGAAAUUAUUCAUUGCUUAUCUGAAAUUUAUAUCUAACUGGGCAUCUGGCAAUCCUCCCCCUUCCCCCACCCCUCACUAAACAAUUGGAAAGUUCUGUUAGUUAUACUUCAAAAAUCUAUUUCUAGUUCCUCCCUGGCUCCCCUUCUCCACAGUUAGCUCCUUAAAAUCCAAGCCACCACCAUCCAGACUCUGACCUGGAGCCCUGAAUGGCCUCCCAGUAUACUCUCUACUGAGCCACCACAGUAAUUGUUUAAAAACAUAGAUGAGUUCCUGUCAAUUCCAUGCUUCAAACCUUUCAGUGCCUCUAACUGCACUUAGAAUAAGACCUCAAAUUAUGAGAAUAACUGCUUCACAACCCAUGCUCCUAACUGUGGCCUCAAAGGCCCUGCCUGAUCUUGCUGCUGCUCACCCCUCCAACUUCAUCUCAACUCACUCCCCUCUAAUCCCUGGCUGAAGCUACACUGUCCCUUCUUUUCUCUCUGGAGGCCUUUGCCUAUGCAUUCCCUUUGCUACAUAGGUCUUGGCCAGACUGGUUUUUCUUAUCCUUUGGGUAUUUUUAAAUGUCACCCAGUCUAUUUUAGGGUUUAUUUCCUUCAUCAUUCUUUGAAUUUUAUGUUUAUGGCUGAAUCCCGUGAGACCCAAAUAGUAUCUGCAGGUGGAAAGAAGCUCCCCCCUUCCCUACAGCUUCAGCCCCUGGCCUUGUAUAAAUCUGUUCCCCAAACUAGAUACACCCCAAAGAUCAAGGGGCUAGGACGAGAAUCAGUGCUCAAAACACUUCAGCUCAGUUUAUCACCACAGCAGCC